rnacentral:rRNA from 1 species
UGCAAGUCGGACGGGAAUGAGUCGCAAGAUUCAAACCAGUGGCGGACGGGUGAGUAUAUGCAAGGUACGUACCCUUUACUCUGACAUAGCUCGUCGAAAGACGGGGUAAUAUCAGAUGAGGACGCAAGUCCAAAGCGCUUAACCGCGCGGUAAAGGAGCGGCCUUGUUCCUAUCAGCUUGUUGGUGGGGUAAUGGCCUACCAAGGCGAUGACGGGUAGGGGGCGUGAGAGCGCGACCCCCCACAAUGGCACUGAGACACGGGCCAUACAUCUACGGAUGGCAGCAACUGGGAAUAUUCGGCAAUGGGCGAAAGCCUGACCGAGCGACGCCGCGUGAGGGAUGAAGUAUUUCGGUAUGUAAACCUCUUUUACGGAGAUAUCAUGUCUCCGAGAAUAAGCACCUACAAACUACGUGCCAGCGGUCGCGGUAAUACGUAGGGUGCAAGCGUUAUCCGGAUUUACUGGGCGUAAAGGGUCGUGUAGGUGGUUUAUCGCAUCGUGCUUGAAAGCCCGAGGCUCAACCUCGGCGUUGGGCACGAGAUGGAUAGACUAGAGGGUGAGAGAGGCAAGGGGAACUCAUGGUGGAGCAGUGAAAUGCGUUGAUAUCAUGAGGAACACCAAAGGCGAAGGCACCUUGCUGGUUCACUUCUGACACUCAGACACGAAAGCUAGGGGAGCGAAGCAGAUUAGAGACCUGCGUAGUCCUAGCCCUAAACGCAUGUCUGCUAGAUGCCCUGCGCAAGCGGGGUGUCGUAAGCUAACGCGUUAAGCAGACCGCCUGGGGAGUACG